AUGAUUCUCACAAGGAGCUUAGCCCAGUCCCUGGCUCUUGAGAGAAGAUUCUGUGACUGCAUCUCAGCUUCAAUAUCUCCAAAGCCAGCUCUUCCAAAAGAGUGGAGGAGAAACACAUAUGAAGCUCCCUCGGCACUGAGUUCCUUCAAUGGAAGGAAUGUGAGUUAACCAAGUUUCUUUUUAUCUCUGUUUCUAUAAAAUGAG
rnacentral:lncRNA from 1 species